rnacentral:rRNA from 1 species
UACAGAGGGGGCAAGCGUUAUUCGGAAUUACUGGGCGUAAAGCGUGCGCAGGCGGUGAUGUAAGACAGAUGUGAAAUCCCCGGGCUCAACCUGGGAACUGCAUUUGUGACUGCAUCGCUGGAGUGCGGCAGAGGGGGAUGGAAUUCCGCGUGUAGCAGUGAAAUGCGUAGAUAUGCGGAGGAACACCGAUGGCGAAGGCAAUCCCCUGGGCCUGCACUGACGCUCAUGCACGAAAGCGUGGGGAGCAAACAGG